AAUAUGUAGUAUGUACCAGGCAGAGUGCUAUGGAGCUAAGAAUAUAGAUACAUAAGACAUUUAUUUACCCUCAAGGGGAGUUAUCGUCUACUGGAGAACUUUAUGGUUUUAACAUGGGGAUUUUCACUUUAAAAGUCAUUUGAUUCAUUUUGAAUCAGAAUACAUCCAACCACUAAGGUUGCCUACUUAGAGGAUCAAAUUGCUGCUGUAAAUCUUGGAUACAAAUAUAUUCCUCAUAAUAAAAGAAGCUCACCUAAAAUUUUAGGAAAAUGACAAGGCAAUUUCUGAGGUGCAGAAUGAAUACAUCAGGUAAGCAGGUCUACUUACUAGAAAGAUUGCCUCCUGACUAAUAGAGUGGGGGGCUUAGAGUCUUAGUGAUUUAUUCCUGAAUUAAAACUAGAUAAUAUAUAUAUAUAAGUACUUUACAUUUGUAAAAGGAAAACAUUACUGUUACACACUGACACCACAUAGAAUAAUAUUGUUACAUAAUACUCAUUAUAAUAGGGUAUUGUUACUAUUACACUAUGUAGAGUAAUACCCUAAAAAAUCCAUGAGCAUGGGAAUUGCAAG
rnacentral:lncRNA from 1 species